GAACGACCCUAUCAGUCCAUGUAUCUUUAUAAAGAAGUUUGCAAAGGAUUUGUUAUCAUAGCAGUGUAUGUUGAUGAUUUGAACAUCAUUGGAACCCCUUGGCAUUUAUGAAUUUUUAUAAGUUAACCUCCACUUAAUUAUAUACGCAGCUUGGUGAACUGAACUCCCUGUUAGCUAUGGAGCGCUCACCACGAGCAAUGAUGCCUUUAGUAACGCAAGUUUCUACCUUCUUUGUUGGCAUAGAUGUAUCCCAUGGUUCCCCUGGACAGUCUGACAUACCAUCAGUUGCUGCUGUUGUGGGAUCCAGAGAAUGGCCACUCAUCUCAAAAUAUAGGGCAUGUGUGCGCACACAAUCUCGGAAAGUGGAAAUGAUUGAUAAUCUCUUCAAACCUGUCACAGACGAGAAUGGAAAACUCGUUGAUGAAGGAAUUUUCUGGUUUGACUACUCUUGUGUUGUGUUCAUAGCUUGUGGCAGAGGCUAUUGGUCAUAUUAAUGAGAAACUUCAUGCGCUUUUCAGGGAGCUCUUGUUCGACUUUUACACAAGCUCGGGGAAGAGGAGACCUGAACACAUUAUCAUUUUCAGGUAUAUUUACAUUUAUUAAGGUAUCAUGUGAAAGUAAUAUAAUACAUUUUUGUUAACUCUUGGUUUAUUAAUGUUUGCAUGUAGGGAUGGUGUGAGUGAGUAUCAGUUCAAUCAAGUUCAUAACAUUGAAUUGGAUCAGAUGAUGCAGGUAUGGUUAUUAUGGUUUGUUUAUUUAGUGUAUGUUGCUGGACAUUUAUGAACUUGGUUUAUUUUCUUGGGUUAGGCAUGCAAAUUUGUUGAAGAAAAUUGGGAACCCAAGUUCACAGUGAUCAUUGCCCAAAAGAACCACCACACCAAAUUCUUCCAGGCUGAAAGCCCUGGCAAUGUUCCACCAGAUAAUGUUCCUCCAGGAACAAUAGUUGACAGCAAGAUCUGUCACCCACGCAACAAUGACUUCUAUCUCUGUGCCCAUAAUGGAAUGAUUGGAACUACAAGGCCAACACAUUACCAUGUGCUUUAU